UACGGGGGGGGCAAGCGUUGUUCGGAAUUACUGGGCGUAAAGGGCUUGUAGGUGGCCAACUAAGUCAGACGUGAAAUCCCUCGGCUUAACCGGGGAACUGCGUCUGAUACUGGAUGGCUAGAGUGUGGGAGAGGGAUGCGGAAUUCCAGGUGUAGCGGUGAAAUGCGUAGAUAUCUGGAGGAACACCGGUGGCGAAGGCGGCAUCCUGGACCACGACUGACACUGAAAAGCGAAAGCCAAGGGGAGCAAAACGGG
rnacentral:rRNA from 1 species